rnacentral:rRNA from 1 species
AACGUAGGUGGCAAGCGUUAUCCGGAAUUACUGGGCGUAAAGGGUGUGCAGGCGGGGUGGCAAGUGGUGUAUGAAAUAUCCCAGCUUAACUGGGAGGGGUUAUGCCAGACUGCUACUCUAGAGGACGAGAGAGGGGCGUGGAAUUCCGGGUGUAGUGGUGAAAUGCGUAGAGAUCCGGAGGAACCCCAGAGGCGAAGGCGACGCCCUGGCUCGUUCCUGACGCUCAGCCACGAAAGCAUGGGGAGCGAACGGG